GACGUAGGGUGCGAGCGUUGUCCGGAAUUAUUGGGCGUAAAGAGCUCGUAGGCGGUUUGUUGCGUCUAUCGUGAAAACCUGCAGCUUAACUGUGGGCUUGCGGUGGAUACGGGCAGACUUGAGUUCGGUAGGGGAGACUGGAAUUCCUGGUGUAGCGGUGAAAUGCGCAGAUAUCAGGAGGAACACCAAUAGCGAAGGCAGCUCGCUGGGACGUUACUGACACUGAGGCGCGAAAGCGUGGGGAGCGAACAGG
rnacentral:rRNA from 1 species